rnacentral:rRNA from 1 species
ACUGCUCAGUAACACGUAGUUAACCUAACCUAUGGAUGGGGAUAACCUCGGGAAACUGAGAAUAAUCCCCGAUAGGCCACAAUGCCUGGAAUGGUUUGUGGCUUAAAUGAUUUAUCGCCGUAGGAUGGGACUGCGGCCUAUCAGCUAGUUGGUGAGGUAAUGGCCCACCAAGGCUAUAACAGGUACGGGCUCUGAGAGGAGGGGCCCGGAGAUGGGUACUGAGACACGGACCCAGGCCCUAUGGGGCGCAGCAGGCGAGAAACCUUUGCAAUGUGCGAAAGCACGACAAGGUUAAUCCGAGUGUCUUCUGCUAAAGAAACCUUUUGUCAGUCCUAGAAACACUAACGAAUAAGGGGUGGGCAAGUUCUGGUGUCAGCCGCCGCGGUAAAACCAGCACCUCAAGUGGUCAGGAUGAUUAUUGGGCCUAAAGCAUCCGUAGCUCGUUUUGUAAGUUUUCGGUUAAAUCCAUGCGCUUAACGUAUGGGCUGCCGGGAAUACUGCAUAACUAGGAAGUGGGAGAGGUAGACGGUACUCGGUAGGAAGGGGUAAAAUCCUUUGAUCUAUUGAUGACCACCUGUGGCGAAGGCGGUCUACCAGAACACGUUCGACGGUGAGGGAUGAAAGCUGGGGGAGCAAACCGGAUUAGAUACCCGAGUAGUCCUGGCUGUAAACGCUGCGAGCAAGGUGUUGCAUAUUCUAACAUGAAUAUGCAGUGUCGAAACGAAGGUGUUAAGCUCGCCGCCUGGGAAGUACGGUCGCAAGACUGAAACUUAAAGGGAAUUGGCGGGGGAG